rnacentral:lncRNA from 1 species
GUGGGAUACGGACUCUUUAAUAACACUUUGUUUUAGGAUCAAGAAAUGCUCACAUGGCUGUGGUUUGACUUUUCAAAUUUUGUAUGUUGCCAAAUAUGUUGGCAUGUUAUUAUGGAGUUUGUUGUAUUAUAUUUUAAUUUAUUUUGACAUAAAUUAGUAUGCUUUUUGGGCUAGCAUGCUGAAUUUUGUUCCAUAUGUCUAAUAUUGAAUA